AACUACAAGACUACUCAUAAAAAUCGAGCUAAAAUAAGCGCUUUUGUUAAAUGUGAUUGCUUGAAUUUUCAUAAAAGUGACAAAAUAAUCAAGUGACAAAAUAAUUAGUUUUUCAAGCGAAAAAUCAUUUUCCCAGCAUUUAGAUUACCGGUUUAGUCUUAAUAAACAAGAUAGUCAAGUUUUCAUAUUUUACGCAACCUAAUCAACCAAGGACAAAGUCGCUAUUAUCUACCGAGCAAAAUCAGAACAAUUAGAGUUUAGGUAUCUUACCUUCCUAAAUGUUGUCUCCUCUCUUAUUCUUGCCGAUUUCCUCCGGUGAGUCAGGUCACCGUCUCCCUAAUCGUCACCACCGAUUUCUAGCCCCGUAUAAAAAAAGAAAAAACAACAAAAUCAAAAUAGCAAGUCAGAAAAGGGCAAUAAAAACAAGAUUUUAACUUUAGCUUUGUAGAUCGGGGUUCACAUGUCGCUGGAGGGCUCGCUAGAGACAUCCUCCGACGACAUGCAAGCCCAAAUUCGGCUAAAAUCGAGAAGAUAAAAGUUAGGGAAGUAGAUCUGCGUUUCUAUUUACCUUUUUGACACCGUUGAGGGAGAGGCGGCGGUGGCACCGCGAUCACCGUUGUUGUGGACGUCGUCAAAACAGAGAGGAAGGGAAGAAGAAGGAGAAGAAGAAGAA
rnacentral:lncRNA from 1 species